AAAAAGGAUGACUCUUGGGCCCACUUAAUGGCUAUGCAAUCAGAAUCUUCUAGAAUAGAGCUCAAGAACACACAAAUGUGCAUGUGUGCAUAAGUAAACACACACAUACACACACACAUGUUAACUCCUCAGAAGAUUCUUAAAUAGCAUAUCUAUAGAGUGGUGUUUUGGAAUAACUGUUCCACAUAUCUCCCUCAUGGGCCUGAAAUGGUGCCUGGAAGUUCAGCAUUAGGGUAACUUUUCUGAGUUAAGUCAUCAUCUCUAGUACCACCUCUCCCCCAGCUAACACAUGUGGUAUUGUUGGUUGUGACAAUGUGGUAGCUAGAGAGUCACUGAGGGUCUCUUGUCUCUGGUUUCUUUUAUCUUAAAAUGAAAGUAAUAAUGCUCACUUCAUCUGUAACUGCAAAGGGCCCAGGAGACAGCUGAAGUGGUUUGUCACCAGAACAUGUAGAGGAGAUGGUGUGGAAAUAUCUGUGCACUGGGACACUGGAACCAGCAGUCCUGAGAGCAUCCAUCUGUGGAGCCAGAGCCAGAGCCAGAGGCAGCCCAACAAGGAGCUCAUCCAUCAGCUGAGCCCAGGCCGGGGCUGGGAAAGAUGACCGCGGGUGUCAGGCCACCCAGGACGCGGGAUGGGGAGGCAAGCUUCUGGAUACGCCAAGGAGGUUUGUUCUGGCUGA
rnacentral:lncRNA from 1 species